rnacentral:rRNA from 1 species
CCUACGGGAGGCAGCAGUGAGGAAUAUUGGUCAAUGGACGCAAGUCUGAACCAGCCAUGUCGCGUGCAGGAAGACGGCUCUAUGAGUUGUAAACUUCUUUUGUACGAGGAUAAACGCAGAGACGCGUAACUGUCUGAAAGUAUCUUACGAAUAAGGAUCGGCUAACUCCGUGCCAGCAGCCGCGGUAAUACGGAGGAUUCAAACGUUAUCCGGAUUUAUUGGGUUUAAAGGGUGCGUAGGCGGUCGGAUAAGUUAGCGGUGAAAUCCCGAGGCUCAACUUCGGAAUUGCAUCUGAUACUGGUAGGCUAGAGUGUAGUUGAGGUAGGCGGAAUGUAUGGUGUAGCGGUGAAAUGCUUAGAGAUCACACAGAACACCGAUUGCGAAGGCAGCUUACCAAGCUACUUCUGACGUUGAGGCACGAAAGCGUGGGGAGCAAACAGGAUUAGAUACCCGUGUAGUC